GCGCACACUCCUGGAGUGAAGAGCCGACCUGUUUCACUGUCCUGACUCACCACCAUCUUGGUAGUGUGCAAGACUCUGGGACGGCAUGAGAAAGGCAGAAGGGGAGCAAAGGUGCUGGUGGGGUGUCACAGGGCCUAUGUAUGAGGCAGAUGUGAGUUCUGCAUCCAGUUUUGCAAUUUAUCCAUUUGCCUGCCUGAGACUUGGAAACACCUACUUGAUAGCCCUGAUUCAAGUGUUGGCGGAUGGAAGGGAGGAGACUCCUGACCCUCAGAAUGAGAUCAAUGGCUUUUCAAAAGCAGCACACCAAACUGUCAAAGUGGUGAUCCCUCUUCAUUUGACGUCCUCACAAAGAGGAGAAUAAGACAAGAAAGCAAGCUAACCCAGAAACAGUGAGGUGACAGUGCGCCUCAAACACAGGAAAAUAAAAUGCCUAACUAUACUGAUUGGAUGCUGCUCAAAAUCAGCCUACAUGCCAUCUUUGCUCAUUAAGAAUGGGACUAAAAAGGCCAGGCACGGUGGCUCACGCCUGUAAUGCCAGCACUUUGGGAGGCUGAGGCAGGUGGAUCACCUGAGGUCGGGAGCUCGAGACCAGCCUGACCAACAUGGCGAAACCCCAUCUCUACUAAAAAUACAAAAUUGGCCGGGCAUGGUGGCACACGCCUGUAAUCUCAGCUACUCAGGAGGCUGAGGCAGGAGAAUCGCUUGAACCUGGGAGGCGGAGGUUGCGGUAAGCCGAGAUCGCACCAUUGCACUGCAGCCCGGGCAACAACAGCGAAACUCCAUCUCGAAAAAAAAAAAAAAAAAAAAGAAUGGAACUAAAAAACAGCCUGGGCAACAUAAUGAGAUCCUGUCUCUACAAAUAAUCAAAAAUUAGCCAGGCAUGGUGGUGCAAGCCUGUAGUCCCAGCUACUUGGGAGGCUGAGGCAGGAGAAUUGCUUGAGCCCAGGAAGUCAAGGUUGCAGCGAGCCAUGAUUGCACUCAGCUUGGACAAAAGAAUGAGGCCCACUCUCGAAAAACAAGAAUGGGGAAAAAGCUAAUUGGUUACAAUGAAGGUUGCUAGAGAUAGAAUACAUUAUAUCAAAACUGAUAAGAGCAAGAAUAUUUAUCCCGCCUUUUCUAUAUAAAUGCAGCACCAGGUAACCAAAUAGUAGAAGGGGAAAUUUUUCUUUAUAGAAGCAGUACAGCUGAAAAAUAAGUGAGGGAGAAAAAACCAGAGUAUCAACAAUUUGCAACCACUGAUGAAAUAAUGCAUCCAGGCAUGACACAUUAAUGUCAGCUAAGCCUACAAAAUUAAAGACAACCAGACAUUAUGUGCUUCUUGAUAAAAGAAGUGAACAUCACCUUAUAAUGUAGUCUUACCCUUACUCACCUAAAAAAGAACCUGAAGCUGAAACUCUAGAGCCAACUUGCAAUUUAUAGGGGACAGAUGAACAUGUUAAAUUAUACCAUGGGAUACAAAUGCAAAAUUCAAACUAUGGGAAAACAUGAAAGACAAAUAACCUUGUUUCUUAAACAAUAAAUUAUGAAGAAUAAAAUAACAGAUAGAGUGGGAACUUAUAGGACCAAAAGAAACCUAAAAGAUAUAUCAAUCAACCACAAUGUGCAGUACCUUAUUUGGAUCCCGAGUUUUAAAAAAAAUUGUAACAUUUGCAAUUAGUAGAAAUUUGAACACAUAUUUAAUAAUUUGUGAUAAUGGUUUUGUGGCUAAGUUUAAAAAAUGAAAGGCCCCAAUCUUCAGAAAUCUACCCUGAAAUAUUUACAAUUACAUAUUUAACAAGUAUAUAAAAGUAUAACCAUAUCUGGGAUUUGCUUUCACUUAGUAAGAGAUGGUAGCUGGAGAGAUGUAUGGAUGAGAUAAGAUUGGCCACAAGCUGAUGGUUACUAGAACUAGGUGUCUGAAGUUUAAAAUUCUACAUGAUAAAAUAUCUAAAAAAUUUGUGUCACAGAAUUUCAAUAGCAAUUAAAUUCAGGAAAAGAUAUUCAAAUGUCUUAAUAGCAAUUACCAGAUAAUAAAAAGUUAUUGUAAAAGAAAACCUUUGUGUUACAGAUUUUCACUGAAUUCAGACUUAUAAAGAAUUAUGCAAAUGAAUGUAAGAGUAAUUAUUGAUUAAUAAAUUAACAGUAUUUAGGAAAACCCUAUGAUGUCAUAAAAGUUGAUGGAAACUGUAUACGAUUACAGUAAGUAAUAAAAUUAUGUCAUAAAUCUUUCCAUACUAAAAUUGUUGUUUUCAAAGAAGUGAACUUCAUUGUUAACAUUGCGGGCACAAAGAGUUUCAUCUUCUGACCAGGAUGGACACCUAUGUCAAUGAAAAAAAAAAAAAAGUAUAAAAAAUAUUCAGACAGAAUGUAACAUCACAUUAACAUGUUAAAGUAAUUUAUGAUAUUGGUUACCAUUUAAGGAAAAACACUUAUAAACACUUAUAAAUAUGAUAUUAAGUCAGUUAAUAGUUUUAGUCAAUAUAUGUUAAUAGAAAAGGCCAGGUGUGGUGGCUCACACCUGCAAUCCCAGCACUUUGGGAGGCCAAGGCAGGUGGAUCACCUGAGGUCAGGAGUUCAAGACCAGCCUGGCCAACAUGGUGAAACCCCAUCUCUACUAAAAAUACAAAAAUUAGCCAGGCAUGGUGGCACAUGCCUGUAGUCCCAGCUACUUGGGAGGCUGAGGCAGGUGAAAUCGCUUGAACCUAGAAGGCAGAGGUUGCCGUGAGCCAAGAUCAGGCCACUGCAUUCCAGCCUGGGCGACAGAGCGAGACUCCCUCUCAAACAAACAAAAAAAAGAAAACAUUGUUCCUUUCCACUUAAUACUAAAGGAAAGAAGGAUCAAGUUUUUGCUCUAUUACAUUCCUACAUACAAAAUCCUUAAAAAUGUAGAUUUUUGUCUGAUAAGUUAUUUUUUAAAUCAAUAUCAGGAAAACAAAUAUUAUACAGUGAUGACAUUAAAAAUACUAUGUAAAAAUUAGUAUUUUAAACCAUUUAUUUACCAAUUUUGCAUUUUUUUCUGGAUGAAAGAUUUCAAACAUGUCCCAGUUUUCACAUCAUAAAGUUGUAGGUUGGGUAUCCCAGCUGUGCCAUCUUUAGAAGCUACAAUAAAAAUUCUUUUUUUCAGUAAUUGCCUUGUAACAUUUGUAAAAGGAUUAUUUUUCUUAUUUAUUAAGUUUGAUAUGGAUUACUAUCAAAUGGGUUAAAUCAUGAAAGCUUGCCUCUGUGUUACCUAAAUAAAUAAAUAAAAGGUUACAUAACCCACUCAUGAUUCUCAA